rnacentral:lncRNA from 10 species
CAGGAAGGGAAAUGCAAAAUGGAUUCUGUCUUAUUGGUCCUCCCCUGAAGCACUAGGUCCAACUGUGACCCCAUGGGAUUAGCAGGGGGAGUUUUGUGACUUAGAUUCAAGCCACAAAAGCUCUCUCAAAUGCCGGAGACUCCACGGGGACCAGGCAGGGAACGGGGUGUGGCCGGAGAGGACUUUUUUCAUUAGUCCUGGAUCACACACAGGCGGUAAGGUGUCUGUGCCUCUGAAGCCAACCCGUAAUGCAUGAUCAGCACAAAGCCCUGAGCAGUGGAAGCUGACCUAACAUGACGCAAAGCCUGUUGACAAGGAAGCAGAGCGUGUUUCGUGGAAUAUGGAGUUUCACUAGUUGCCCUGGCUGCAGAAGACUAUUUUUAACCUGAAGAUUCCCCAGCCGAUUCUGUCUUCCCCCAACUAAAAGGUAAACUUCACAAGGAUGGAUUCCACUGAUGUAGCCCCAGUGUCUAGAAUAAUGCCUGGCAAAUAGAAGGUGUUCAAUAAAACACCCGCCAGCCUGCAGAUUCGGUCAGAGGAGAUUUCUGUCCCUAGAGGCAGAAAACUGCUGCAACUUGCCCUCCAAGAGGUGUGGACCAAAGAGGAAGCUGAUGAAAAUCUAACUGCCUGCCUCAAUGUCUCUUGAAAUGGAUGCUCCAAAGGAUGUUUUUACUUAGAAUCCCUAAUCAGCCGAUUUUUAAACAGAUUGAUUUGAGGAACAGAUGGACUCUGGAUGAAGCUGUAAUCCGGAGGUUGCCACUGAUUUCUGUUGACAGUUUUAAACCCCACCUAUUUGUCAACAGUGGGAACUCUUCUGGGGGAAUGCUCUGUUCCUGAAAGAGAAGAAUGUUUCCAUUCUGACCACCGAAUAAAGAGAGAAUGGAUCUAGGCAGGAGUGAUUUGACUGAAGUUAAAUAGGUUUUAAUAUAAAAAGGCUAGCAGAUUCCAAUGGAAGUGAAUACAGUUGGUCUGUAUUUACACACAGGGAUUAAGCAAACUAAUCCGAUGGGAGUCUGUGCCGGCGAUUGUUUGGGAGCAAGAUAGAUCCAUCUGCGUGUAAAGAAUUGUGAAUGAAUGAGGAUCUAUGGCUCAGUGGGCAGGGGGGGCAUGGGGGAGACCACCAGUCUGACUAAUCAGACAUUCACAUUUCCCACUGUUUUGUUCUAUUGUAUCCAAAUGUGAGAAGCUGCUCUCCAGUCCCCCACAUACAAAGCUCUUUAUUGGACUUUACUGUGGCAUGAUCCCGGCUGCUUUACUCCAACUGCCAGCCUCAGAAGGAGUUUUGCUUGAUGGUGUCUGGCAGCUUGGCUUUGCUUCAGUAGAUUUAUGAGCUGUGAAAGAUGGUCAAAUUAACACCCUAAGCGUUCCUGAUAGGAUUAGAGGCCUGCAUUAGCAUACCACCCUGAAGUACCACACUAUCUCUGUGUCUUCCCAGCCCUUCUGGGUGGGGUUUGGAGAGGGUAAGUGGGAGGUGAUGCCACACACCCCUCUCCCAGCUGGCAACACAAAGGGUCACCAUGUGAUUCCAGAUGAUGUUAUUUGGCAUUUAAUAUCUAAUGGCAGUGUCUCCCAAUCAAAAGAACUGAACUGAAGUGGUGAAUGCAUCCCUUUUCAGGGCUGGAUGCCCAUCCUUGCUCUCAUGGAGAGAAAGAGCCGUCUCGUCUUUGGGGUGAGAUUGACAAUCCAACCACCCUAACCAGGACUGGAGUGGACCUUAAAAUAUCCAUUUAAGUCAUAAUGAUUACUGAUUGUUCUGAUUAUAAUGGUAACACAUAUUUAUUGUAGAAAAUUUGGAAAAUGAUGAAAAAUACAGCAAAGUAAAAAUCACCCAUCAUCCCAUUACUUAGAGAUAGCUUGCCAUUAACAUUUUGGUGUAUUAAUUUAUUGAUAAUCUGUUUUCUAUGCAUGUAGACAGGUGAUUUGUUAUUUUUGCUUUAACAAAGUGGGAUCAUAUUGUUUAUCCUAAAUCUUUUAAUAUUAUAUCCAAUACAUUUUAAUAAAUUUCUUCUGCUGGGCGCGGUAAUCCCAGCACUUUGGGAGGCCAAGGCAGGUGGAUCAUCUGAAGUCGGGAGUUUGAGACCAGCCUGGCCAACAUGGUGAAACCUUGUCUCUACUAAAAAUACAAAAAUUAGCUGGGCAUGGUGACGCAUGUCUGUAAUACCAGCUACUUGGGAGGCUGAGGCAAGAGAAUCACUUGAACCUGGGAGG